rnacentral:rRNA from 1 species
AGUGAACGCUGGCGGUAGGCCUAACACAUGCAAGUCGAACGGCAGCACAGUAAGAGCUUGCUCUUACGGGUGGCGAGUGGCGGACGGGUGAGGAAUACAUCGGAAUCUACUUUUUCGUGGGGGAUAACGUAGGGAAACUUACGCUAAUACCGCAUACGACCUACGGGUGAAAGCAGGGGAUCUUCGGACCUUGCGCGAUUGAAUGAGCCGAUGUCGGAUUAGCUAGUUGGCGGGGUAAAGGCCCACCAAGGCGACGAUCCGUAGCUGGUCUGAGAGGAUGAUCAGACACACUGGAACGGAGACACGGUCCAGAAUCCUACGGGAGGCAGAAGUGGGGAAUAUUGGACAAUGGGAGCAAGCCUGAACCAGCCAUACCGCGUGGGUGAAGAAGGCAUUCGGGUUGUAAAGCCUUUUUGUUGGGAAAGAAAAGCAGAAGGUUAAUACCCCGCUGUUAUGACGGUACCCAAAGAAUAAGCACCGGCUAAAUUCGUG